GUAAGGAAUAUUGGACAAUGGACGCAAGUCUGAUCCAGCCAUGCCGCGUGAAGGAUUAAGGUCCUCUGGAUUGUAAACUUCUUUUAUAAGGGACGAAAAAAGGCUUUUCUAAGUCGUCUGACGGUACCUUAUGAAUAAGCACCGGCUAACUCCGUGCCAGCAGCCGCGGUAAUACGGAGGGUGCAAGCGUUAUCCGGAUGCACUGGGUUUAAAGGGUGCGUAGGCGGGCAGGUAAGUCAGUGGUGAAAUCCUAGAGCUUAACUCUAGAACUGCCAUUGAUACUAUCUGUCUUGAAUAUUGUGGAGGUAAGCGGAAUAUGUCAUGUAGCGGUGAAAUGCUUAGAUAUGACAUAGAACACCUAUUGCGAAGGCAGCUUACUACGCAUAUAUUGACGCUGAGGCACGAAAGCGUGGGGAUCAAACAGGAUUAGAUACCCGGGUAGUCC
rnacentral:rRNA from 1 species